ACAAGCUGCCCUGAAAAGAAAAUAACAAUGAUUCCCCUAGUAGGGGUGAGUGAAGCGGGGAGAGCUCAAAGUGAAAAUUGUGACUCCCCUCUCACGAAUUGUAGCCUCUACAGGCGUGGCCAGUGGGCGGGCAGGUCAACGUUUCUUGGAACAGAACUUCAGAGAGGGUGAGAGUCCCGUCCUUCGUCGCGCUUUUGCAUUUUCCCACGUGCGGUGCGCUUUUAUUGUGUCGCCUUCAUUGGGAUUUAAGCGCAAAAGAGGGGAUAAGUUUCACGUAAAGCUGAAUACUGGCGUGAGACCAAUAGCAAAGAAGGAGUGUGAGGGAGCCAUGAAAAGAACUUUGGAAAGAGUUAAAAUUACCUGAAAUUGCUGAAAGGGAAGCGAUUCAAACUUUUGCGUUUGUGGGAUCAUGAUAGAUUUUAGUGCUUAUGAAAUCUUUAUGCGGCUUCGUUGUCCGUAACCACCGACGCAUAGUUGAAAUUGCAAUACUCGGUUUGCAGGGCCUUUGAGAACGAACAAACG
rnacentral:ncRNA from 1 species